rnacentral:rRNA from 1 species
CGGACGGGUGAGUAACGCGUGAGAAUUUGGCUUCAGGUCGGGGACAACAGUUGGAAACGACUGCUAAUACCGGAUAUGCCGGAAGGUGAAAGGCUUGCUGCCUGAAGAUAAGCUCGCGUCUGAUUAGCUAGUUGGUGGGGUAAGAGCCUACCAAGGCGACGAUCAGUAGCUGGUCUGAGAGGAUGAUCAGCCACACUGGGACUGAGACACGGCCCAGACUCCUACGGGAGGCAGCAGUGGGGAAUUUUCCGCAAUGGGCGAAAGCCUGACGGAGCAAUACCGCGUGAGGGAGGAAGGCUCUUGGGUCGUAAACCUCUUUUCUCAAGGAAGAAGAAAGUGACGGUACUUGAGGAAUAAGCAUCGGCUAACUCCGUGCCAGCAGCCGCGGUAAUACGGAGGAUGCAAGCGUUAUCCGGAAUGAUUGGGCGUAAAGGGUCUGUAGGUGGUACUGUAAGUCUGCUGUUAAAGAAUCACGCUCAACGUGAUCAAAGCAGUGGAAACUACAGAACUAGAGUGCGGUAGGGGCAGAAGGAAUUCCUGGUGUAGCGGUGAAAUGCGUAGAUAUCAGGAAGAACAUCGGUGGCGAAAGCGUUCUGCUAGACCGCAACUGACACUGAGGGACGAAAGCUAGGGGAGCGAAUGGGAUUAGAUACCCCAGUAGUC